rnacentral:tRNA from 1 species
GGGGAGAUACCAAAGCGGUCAACUGGGGCAGACUGUAAAUCUGUUGGCUAAGCCUUCGGAGGUUCGAAUCCUCCUCUCCCCA